rnacentral:rRNA from 1 species
UACGGAGGGGGCGAGCGUUAUUCGGAAUUAUUGAGCGUAAAGGGCUCGUAGGUGGCCAACUAAGUCGGACGUGAAAUCCCUCGGCUUAACCGGGGAACUGCGUCCGAUACUGGAUGGCUUGAGUUUGGGAGAGGGAUGCGGAAUUCCAGGUGUAGCGGUGAAAUGCGUAGAUAUCUGGAGGAACACCGGUGGCGAAGGCGGCCCGCUGGGCAGU